UGGGGAAUAUUGCACAAUGGGCGCAAGCCUGAUGCAGCCAUGCCGCGUGUAUGAAGAAGGCCUUCGGGUUGUAAAGUACUUUCAGCGGGGAGGAAGGUGUUGUGGUUAAUAACCACAGCAAUUGACGUUACCCGCAGAAGAAGCACCGGCUAACUCCGUGCCAGCAGCCGCGGUAAUACGGAGGGUGCAAGCGUUAAUCGGAAUUACUGGGCGUAAAGCGCACGCAGGCGGUCUGUCAAGUCGGAUGUGAAAUCCCCGGGCUCAACCUGGGAACUGCAUCCGAAACUGGCAGGCUUGAGUCUUGUAGAGGGGGGUAGAAUUCCAGGUGUAGCGGUGAAAUGCGUAGAGAUCUGGAGGAAUACCGGUGGCGAAGGCGGCCCCCUGGACAAAGACUGACACUGAGAGACGAAAGCUAGGGGAGCGAAUG
rnacentral:rRNA from 1 species